GUCCUCUCACUGAAAAGUGAGAAUGUUUAAUGCGUCUGAAAUAAAUAAAAUCAUAUACAUAGUUUAAAAUGUGGUUUGGUGGAGAACACUACUUUACGAAAAAAAGACGAACAUAGACAACAUCAGUAUACCGCUGUUCAAAAGUCAUAAAUUGAUUAAAAGAAAACAAAUCUGGGUUACAAACUUCAACCGAGGGAACACAUCAACUAUAAGAGGAAAACAAUGGAAUAACAGGAACACUGAAGUGCAAAGUCAGAUUUCGCACUGAUUUACAUUUAUAAAUAACAACC
rnacentral:lncRNA from 1 species